rnacentral:tRNA from 1 species
GACGAGGUGGCCGAGUGGUCAAGGCGGUGGACUGCUAGUCCAUUGUGCUCUGCACGCGUGGGUUCGAAUCCCAUCCUCGUCG